rnacentral:misc_RNA from 1 species
AUUUCCACCCACUUAUUCUUUCCAGCCUGCGAGCACCCUAUUUUGAAAAUUCCAGAGUCAAGCUUUUUCUGCAACUCAUCCUUCGAGAUGCUACCCUCUGCUGGCACAGCCAAGAACAGCUGUACUUCAGGCGAUCCUUCAGCAGCAUACUUUUUCCCUUCCUCAGUAAGUACCCAUGUCUCCCUCUUAAUGUCCUGAGUGUCAACGAAGCGAAAACCGUGCAGGCUUUUGAUAACAUUGACGAUCUCAGCGUGGUCGAUUCCCCUUUCUGCGGCGAACUCGCCGGAAUCAGAGAUUUCUUCGUGAUUCUCUAAGUAGCCCAAAAUCGCCUCCUCUGCCAUUAUCUCUCGAUUGCAAGGGUUCUGUGUCUCCAAUGGGGCAAUAGGCUAGUUUCGACGUAGCCACCACAGCAUUUCACUCUACAGGAGGAUGACGCAAAUGAAAUGCUUGCACAUAGAGCUAGGGC